AAAAACUCAUUUUAUGAUGCCCUAAAGCCUUGCUAUAAAAAGCUUAUUUUCUUCAUUUUCUAGGCAGAGACUAGACACCAAAAAAUAGAAACGGCUAAAAAUCUUUUCUGAUAAAACUAUCUAGUUUUGAGCUUUAUUCCCCUUUAGAUAAAAAGUUUGAAGUGGCUUUUCUGGGGAUUUUUCUGGUUUUCUAAGCUGAAACAUGGCUGGUUAUUGAGGCUGUUGGUUGAUUAUCAUUGCUGUUUCUUUGCUGCUGAGCUCCCUUCUUUCUUGGUUGCCAUAAGCUGAUCUCAGAUACAUUUUCACUGAUUUUUUUUGCUUUGUUAUAUCCAAGUACUCUUUUAAAUCUUUGGAGUGUGGGUUGAAUAUGAAGAUGCAUGUGUUAAGGCUGUUGUAAUGAGUUAUCAAUUUUAUUUUAGUAAUUGGCAUCUAAGUUCUAUCAAUUUGUAUAUAUUCUUUUCUGUCAGACCUGGUUCUGCUUUGUACAUCAAUAGAUGUAGGCUUGUUUCUUGAGCAUGAAGUUGUCAUUGUAACAUUUGAAUUUCUAGGAUAUAACUUCUGUUUGUGUUAAAAAUAUCGUAAAAAGGAAAAAAAUAUUGAAUGUUUGAACCAAGUAGAUAUACAUUGUGAUUGGGGAGUUUGCCUAUGUAAUUUUUGUUCUGAAAUUAUGUUAGGGACAUUAGAACCUUUUGUAAUGAGUUUGUAAAUGAUGUUUGAUAUAUGGCUAUCACUGUUUCAUCUAGAUUUUCAAAUAAGGGUC
rnacentral:lncRNA from 1 species